UCUUUCUUGGUCUAGUGGUAAGGAUACCUGCCUGUCAUACAGACAGCGCGCUAGUUUCGCAGGUGGCCGGGGUUCGAUUCCCCGAGAGAGAG